rnacentral:rRNA from 1 species
UACGUAGGGGGGCAAGCGUUGUCCGGAUUUAUUGGGCGUAAAGCGCGUGUAGGCGGCCACGCAGGUCCGCUGUGAAAACUCGAGGCUCAACCUCGAGCUGUCGGUGGAAACCGCGUGGCUAGAGUCCGGAAGAGGGGACUGGAAUUCCCGGUGUAGCGGUGGAAUGCGCAGAUAUCGGGAGGAACACCCGUGGCGAAGGCGGGUCCCUGGGACGGUACUGACGCUGAGACGCGGAAAGCGUGGGAGCGAACGAGGAGAUUGAU